AAAGAAAAAUUGAGAACGCACAGUACUUCAUCUUUCCCCAUACUCUCCUCUCAACCUCACAAAUUUCGCCCUUCAUCACCACAAAUUCUCCUCCACUUAUCCGCGAGCAUUCCCAUCCGAACAUCACCAUCAAACAUCCGUAACAACCAUAUUCCACGUACAACAACCGAGACCGACGAACUACCACCUCACUUCCAUAAUCCUGCUUCUGUCAUCACUCUGAAUCCCCAGCGAAUCACCCCUUCAACUCCACUUUUGUCUCAAUUUUGUGAGUUAGUAAAUAACUCCUCUUCAAUUUCACUCUCAUUUUAUUAUUUAGCUUUAUUUUGGGACUGUUUUUGA
rnacentral:lncRNA from 1 species